GAUGAACGCUGGCGGCGUGCCUAAUACAUGCAAGUCGAGCGAACGGACGAGAAGCUUGCUUCUCUGAUGUUAGCGGAGGACGGGUGUGUAACACGUGGAUAACCUACCUAUAAGACUGGGAUAACUUCGGGAAACCGGCGCUAAUCCCGGAUAAUAUUUUGAACCGCAUGGUUCAAAAGUGAAAGACGGUCUUGCUGUCACUUAUAGAUGGAUCCGCGCUGCAUUAGCUAGUCGGUAAGGUAACGGCUUACCAAGGCAACGAUGCAUAGCCGAACUGAGAGGGGGAUCGGCGACACGGGAAGUGAGACACGGACCAGACUCCUGCGGGAGGCAGCAGUAGGGAAUCGUCCGCAAUGGGCGAAAGCCUGACGGAGCAACGCCGCGUGAGAGAUGAAGGUCUUCGGAGCGUAAAACUGUGUUAUGAGGGAAGAACAGAUGUGUAAGUAACUGUGCACAUCGUGACGGUACCUAAUCAGAAAGCCACGGCUAACUACGUG
rnacentral:rRNA from 1 species